rnacentral:rRNA from 1 species
UUUUUGGAGAGUUUGAUCCUGGCUCAGGACGAACGCUGGCGGCGUGCCUAAUACAUGCAAGUCGAGCGGAUCAAUAGAAGCUUGCUUCUGUUGGUUAGCGGCGGACGGGUGAGUAACACGUGGGCAACCUGCCUGUAAGACUGGGAUAACUUCGGGAAACCGGAGCUAAUACCGGAUAAUUCAUCCCCUCGCAUGAGG